rnacentral:lncRNA from 1 species
AUAUAUAUAAUAUAUAUAUCCUAUUAUAUAUAUAACAUAUAUAUCCUAUUAUAUAUAUUAUAUAUAUCCUAUUUAUAUAUAUCCUAUUAUUAUAUAUAAUAAUAUAUAUCCUAUUAUAUAUAAUAUGAAUGUAUAUAUAUGAGUUUAUUAAGUAUUAACUUACACAAUCAUAAAGUCCCACAAUACACUGCCUGCAAGCUGAGGAGCAAGGAGAGCCAGUCCGAGUGGCUGAGAAUUAUGCAUAUUCUAUCGAUUUGGAGUGGAGAGUUCUGUAGAUGCCUAUUAGGUCUGCUUGGUCCAGAGCUGGGUUCAAGUCCUGAAUAUCCUUGUUAACCUUCUGUCUCAUUGAUCUGUCUAAUAGUGACAGUGGAGUGUUCAAGUCUCCCACUAUUAUUGUGUGGGAGUUUAAAUCUCUUUGUAGGUCUCUAAGAACUUGCUUUUUGAAUCUGGGUGCUCCUGUAUUGGGUGCAUAUAUAUUUAGGAUAGUUAGCUCUUCUUGUUGCAUUGAUCCCUUUACCAAUGCAACUUCAAUGUAAUGCUCUUCUUUGUCUCUUUUAAUCUUUGUUGGUUUAAAGUCUUAUCAGAGGCUAGGAUUGCAACCAUGCUUUUUUCUCUUUUUUUUUUUUUUUUUUGCUUUCC